rnacentral:rRNA from 1 species
AUUGAACGCUGGCGGCAGGCCUAACACAUGCAAGUCGAGCGGAUGAAGGGAGCUUGCUCCUGGAUUCAGCGGCGGACGGGUGAGUAAUGCCUAGGAAUCUGCCUGGUAGUGGGGGAUAACGUCCGGAAACGGGCGCUAAUACCGCAUACGUCCUGAGGGAGAAAGUGGGGGAUCUUCGGACCUCACGCUAUCAGAUGAGCCUAGGUCGGAUUAGCUAGUUGGUGGGGUAAAGGCCUACCAAGGCGACGAUCCGUAACUGGUCUGAGAGGAUGAUCAGUCAACCGGGAACUGGGACACGGCCCCGACCCCUAGGGGAGGCAGGGGUGGGGAAUUUGGAACAAGGGGCGAAAGCCUGCCCCAGCCAGGCCGGGGGUGUGAAGAAGGUCUUCGGAUUGUAAAGCACUUUAAGUUGGGAGGAAGGGAAGGAAGUUAAAACCUUGCUGUUUUGACUUUACCAACAGAAUAAGCACCGGCUAACUUCGU